rnacentral:rRNA from 1 species
UGUUUUUUAAUUGAAAGCUUGUAUGAAUGGCUUGACGCAGGUAAAGCUGUCUCUUUUAUAUUAAAUAAAAAUUAAUUUUUAAGUGCAGAAGCUUAAAUGAAACCAAAAGACGAAAAGACCCUAUCGAGCUUGAAAAUUAUAAUUAAAUUAAAUUUAUAGUAAAAUAAUUUUUAAUUAAUUUUUUUUGUUGGGGCGACAAAAGAACAAAUAAAGCUUCUUUUCAUUUUAUAAAUUUAUAAAUUUAUAGAUCCAUAAAUUAUGAUUAAAAGAAAAAGCUACCGUAGGGAUAACAGCGUUAUUUUUUCAAAGAGUUCUUAUCGAAGAAAAAGUUUGCGNCCUCGAUGUUGGAUUAAAGUAACUUUUAAGUGCAGAAGCUUAAAUAGUGGGUCUGUUCGACCCUUAAACCUUU